rnacentral:rRNA from 1 species
UACGUAGGGGGCAAGCGUUGUCCGGAAUCAUUGGGCGUAAAGCGCGUGUAGGCGGUUCGGUAAGUCUGCUGUGAAAGUCGGGGGCUCAACCCUCGAAUGCCGGUGGAUACUGUCGGGCUAGAGUGCGGAAGAGGCGAGUGGAAUUCCUGGUGUAGCGGUGAAAUGCGCAGAUAUCAGGAGGAACACCGAUUGCGAAGGCAGCUCGCUGGGACGUAACUGACGCUGAGACGCGAAAGCGUGGGGAGCAAACAGG